GACGAACGCUGGCGGCGUGCUUAACACAUGCAAGUCGAACGAUGAAGAAGAGCUUGCUCUUCGGAUUAGUGGCGAACGGGUGAGUAACACGUGACUAACCUGCCCCUUUCUCUGGGAUAACGCUCCGAAAGGAGCGCUAAUACCGGAUACUCACAUCGAGGCACAUGCCUUGAUGUGGAAAGUUUUUCGGAAAGGGAUGGAGUCGCGGCCUAUCAGCUUGUUGGUGAGGUAACGGCUCACCAAGGCGACGACGGGUAGCCGGCCUGAGAGGGCGACCGGCCACACUGGGACUGAGACACGGCCCAGACUCCUACGGGAGGCAGCAGUGGGGAAUAUAGCACAAUGGGCGAAAGCCUGAUGCAGCGACGCCGCGUGAGGGAUGAAGGUCUUCGGAUUGUAAACCUCUUUCAGUAGGGACGAAGCGAAAGUGACGGUACCUAAAGAAGAAGCACCGGCUAACUACGUGCCAGCAGCCGCAGUAA
rnacentral:rRNA from 1 species